UAUAGCUGCAGGAGCUUCUAAAAGGAGGAGUGAGGCAGUGCUGAAGUUUUCUGCUGUCUUCUGGAAGCUGAAGUUUGAGGAAUCUCAUGACCUUGGGACAGCAGAUAAUGGAUAUAAAAGACUUCCAAGCUCAUCAGCCCAGCACUGCUAGGACACCUCUAAUCCAUGUUCCUCAGCAUCACACCUACAAGGAUUUUAAAUCCUUCCAAGUAUGGGAACUCCACCACUGCUCUGGGCAGCCUGGGCCAGGCCUCGACAGCUCUUCUGGUGGCCCCAUGGAGCCUUUCUCCCUGCUGUGAGCUGGGGAAGCAGUUCCCUUGCUCAGAUUGCAACUGUUGCUUCCAAAGUUACCUUCAGUUACUCAGAGGUAACUUUCCCUUUAAUGAUAAGGGAGAAGCCAGAGUGGAGAUGGACAAGAAAGGAUGACAACAGCACGAAUUAGCAGUCCACACAGCCGAGAGAUAUUCUCAGCAACACUCAAACUUGAGCCAGGGAUGAAAAAAAAAAAGAAGAGAGAGGAAAAGAGCAGGAGGAUAAAACCCAAACAAACCUCCCUCCCCCCAACCAACUCAGAAAAGGUGAAUGUGAAGCUGGGUGGUUUAUUUCUUACUGUGUCCCUCAGAAUAAGCAAUGGAUGUCUUACAUACAUAUAAAUAAUAGCUAUCCAUAACCU